rnacentral:tRNA from 1 species
UCAGGCGUCGUCUAGAGGCAGGACAGCGGGCUUUGGACCCGUGAACGGAGGUUCGAAUCCUCCCGCCUGAACCA